rnacentral:rRNA from 1 species
AUUGAACGCUGGCGGCAGGCCUAACACAUGCAAGUCGAGCGGAUGAAGAGAGCUUGCUCUCUGAUUUAGCGGCGGACGGGUGAGUAAUGCCUAGGAACCUGCCUGGUAGUGGGGGACAACGUUUCGAAAGGAACGCUAAUACCGCAUACGUCCUACGGGAGAAAGCAGGGGACCUUCGGGCCUUGCGCUAUCAGAUGAGCCUAGGUCAGAUUAGCUUGUUGGUGAGGUAAUGGCUCACCAAGGCGACGAUCCGUAACUGGUCUGAGAGGAUGAUCAGUCACACUGGAACUGAGACACGGUCCAGACUCCUACGGGAGGCAGCAGUGGGGAAUAUUGGACAAUGGGCGAAAGCCUGAUCCAGCCAUGCCGCGUGUGUGAAGAAGGUCUUCGGAUUGUAAAGCACUUUAAGUCGGGAGGAAGGGUUGUAGAUUAAUACUCUGCAAUUUUGACGUUACCGACAGAAUAAGCACCGGCUAACUCUGUGCCAGCAGCCGCCGCAGUAA